UCCACAGGGUGCAAUCCUUGAGGAACAGACUGCUCCAGCACGGCCCCACUGCAGGGUCACAAGCCCUGCCAACAAACCUGCUCCAGUGGGGGCUUCACAAAGCUUCCUUCUAGCACCCAUCUCUUCCACGUGGGCUUCUCCAUGGGCUGCAGGUGGAACUCUGCUCCAUUGUGGCCCUCCACGGGCUGCAGAGCACAGCUGCCUCAGCCUUGUCUUCACCACAGGCUGCCAAUCUCAGCUCCAACAUCUGGAGCAUCUUCUCCAUCUCCUUCUUCCCUGACCUUGGUGUCUGCAGGGCUGCUUCUCUCCUCUCUCCAGUUGCAAUUGUGCAGCUUUUUCCCCUCCUUAACUCUCAUCCCAGAGGCGCUGCCACCAUCGCUGGUGGCUUUGGCUUGGAUCCAUCCUGGAGUCAGACAAGGGAAGCUUCUGGCAGCUUCUGACAGAAGCCACCCUGAAGCCAAACCCUUGACAAGCAAACCCAGUACACUCAUUUGCCACUCACAUGACAAUCUGAAUCCUGCAGCUGUCAGGCCUGUAUAUACUUUACUAACAUACCUCAACAGACUAGGUUUUUGUUCUUCAAAAUUGUUAAAAUCACAUUAAAUCUAACUUCACCACAA